GUCUGGGAAACUGCCUGAUGGAGGGGGAUAACUACUGGAAACGGUGGCUAAUACCGCAUAACGUCGCAAGACCAAAGAGGGGGACCUUCGGGCCUCUUGCCAUCAGAUGUGCCCAGAUGGGAUUAGCUUGUUGGUGAGGUAACGGCUCACCAAGGCGACGAUCCCUAGCUGGUCUGAGAGGAUGACCAGCCACACUGGAACUGAGACACGGUCCAGACUCCUACGGGAGGCAGCAGUGGGGAAUAUUGCACAAUGGGCGCAAGCCUGAUGCAGCCAUGCCGCGUGUAUGAAGAAGGCCUUCGGGUUGUAAAGUACUUUCAGCGGGGAGGAAGGUGUUGUGGUUAAUAACCGCAGCAAUUGACGUUACCCGCAGAAGAAGCACCGGCUAACUCCGUGCCAGCAGCCGCGGUAAUACGGAGGGUGCAAGCGUUAAUCGGAAUUACUGGGCGUAAAGCGCACGCAGGCGGUCUGUCAAGUCGGAUGUGAAAUCCCCGGGCUCAACCUGGGAACUGCAUUCGAAACUGGCAGGCUUGAGUCUUGUAGAGGGGGGUAGAAUUCCAGGUGUAGCGGUGAAAUGCGUAGAGAUCUGGAGGAAUACCGGUGGCGAAGGCGGCCCCCUGGACAAAGACUGACGCUCAGGUGCGAAAGCGUGGGGAGCAAACAGGAUUAGAUACCCUGGUAGUCCACGCCGUAAACGAUGUCUACUUGGAGGUUGUGCCCUUGAGGCGUGGCUUCCGGAGCUAACGCGUUAAGUAGACCGCCUGGGGAGUACGGCCGCAAGGUUAAAACUCAAAUGAAUUGACGGGGGCCCGCACAAGCGGUGGAGCAUGUGGUUUAAUUCGAUGCAACGCGAAGAACCUUACCUGGUCUUGACAUCCACAGAACUUUCCAGAGAUGGAUUGGUGCCUUCGGGAACUGUGAGACAGGUGCUGCAUGGCUGUCGUCAGCUCGUGUUGUGAAAUGUUGGGUUAAGUCCCGCAACGAGCGCAAC
rnacentral:rRNA from 1 species